rnacentral:snoRNA from 1 species
UAACCAGGUGUGCCACCAUCUGGCCCUGAAAAAAAUUUUUUUUUAACUGGCAAUAGUAAUGCCAUGUUACUAGCCUUAACGACAUUGGGGUCAUUAAGGUACCUGAAAGUGUCGCUAUGA